UGGUUCCUGAGUGCCUCCAUAGAGGAGCCAACCUAUUGGCCAGAGGACCUGUCAAUCUUCUACUGACCAGUAAACGACGCGGGAAGGAGGACUUCCAGUGCUAUGUUGAAUAGAAGUGGUGAGAAUGAGCAUCCUUGCCAUAUUCCUGAUCUUAGAGGAAAAAACUUUCAGCUUUUUACCAUUGAGUAUGAUGUUAGCUGAAGGCUUCGCAUAUACGGCCUUAAUUAUAUUGAGGUUGCAUUUCUUUUUUCUGGAAGCACAUCUUUUAAAAGAUAUUUACAUGAAGGUCUACCAGAUAUGAAAUUGGAGUUCUAGAAAGGGAGAAGAUGAGGAUGGGGAAGAAACAAUAUUUCAAGAAGAAAUCUCUCAAGAAUUUGCCAAGUCUGACCCAAAACAUCAAGCAGUUGAUUUAAGAAGUGUAUAAGCCCAAGCUGGGUAAAUACAAUGAAAACCACACUUUGGCACACCAGAGUCAAACUGAGGGAAAUCAAAACAAUAAUAAAACAUUGAAAAUACACAUUACCUUCAAGCAACUACAAUAAGAUAAAUAGCUAAUUUCCUAAAACAAAUUAUGGAAGCCAGAAAACAAUUUAAUGACAUCUUUAAUGAUAAAAUUACUGCCAGUUUACAAUUCUCUGCCAACUAAAAAUUUACUCUGGAAUUGAAGGUGAAAUAAAGAUAUUUCUAGACAAAAUAAGCCUGAGAGGUUUCAUCAUUGACAAAUAUUACAGUAGGUACUACAGAAUUCUUCAGGCAGAAGGAAAAUGAUCAAGAAAGAAAUACAGAAAUGGA